rnacentral:lncRNA from 1 species
AUGGGAAACCCUAAACAUCAGGACUUUGCUGUUCAAACGGGGACAGAUGAUCCUUCUGGCAUAACAGCACACAUCAGUAAGUCAGGACUGAGCUCAGGCAGGAUGGGGCUGUGGAUGAGCUUUGCAGUUGGGGAACAAAAGCAGCCACAGCAGAAUUGGUUUCUUCGUCAUCCUUCACCCAGUUCAAACAUGCGGACAGAGAAUAAGUCCCUAAGAAAAAGAAGUGUUUCCAGUGAAAAUGAAAAUCUGACAAUCACUCUUGAGAACUCAGUCAGAUUGGGCUCAGACUGGGAUACUGUUGGGCAAAUUUCAAAUAACGAAUCUGUGGAAAGACAAG